AUUGGCCCUUUUCCAAGUUAAAUUGCAACUAAUUGGUUGAUUCAACUUUUUUGUUUUAAAUUAGCAUGUCUGCCAGUGACUCCAAGCUCAUUGGCCAGUCCAGCUCUGCCCUGCUGUCUGAGUUUGCCUCUGCGGAGAUGAGCCUGCAUGCCAUAUACAUGCAUGAGGUCCACCAGCAGAAAUUCCAGUCUCAGCAUGGACCGGGCCAAUUUCAGCCUACUGUACCCAUGAGGGACUUUGCUGACAGUUCAGGUAAACCUUAUAUUUCGACUGAACAUAUUUAAAAAAUGCUGUGUUGAUAAAUAAGACAUUGAGAACUUUUCAUUUAAAAUGAAAAAUGCCCAAAGUGUCCAAGAGCUUGGUUUUGGGCAGAGGUAGAGUAGGCAAAAGCUGUACUCAAGUAAAUGUACUGUUACUUUUACUUAAGUAAUAAUUUAAAAGGCUACUUUUAAGUGAUUAUUUAAAGAAACUGUCUUAGAAAUUUAAAAAGACUACUCAAGUAGCGAGUUACUUCAUUGGGACUCAUUUAAUAACACAAGGCAACAGUAUGUGUGUGUG
ensembl:lncRNA